GCACGUAUCGGGCUGGGGGAGCGGAGAGAAACACUUGCGAGUUCGAGGGCACUACGGAUGCUCCACGUUAAACCCACAGAAAAGGCAAAUUUGCUGCUAGUGCAGAAAAGCUGAUGGAAAAAUUGCUGUUAACAGAUCGUGCCCUGUUCCUGAACUCGUCCCUUGAUAUGUUUUUGUUUCAGGUGAAAGAACGAAAUUUCAUGUCUGGUAAAUUCAGAGCUGCCUGUUAGCUUCUUUAGGGUCGAGUCUUUCUCUUCUCUCUGUUCAUACUGUUUUUAUGGGCAAGUUGGAAAUAGCCUUUUACUUUUUUAUGUGUAACUGAAUUUUUAGGAAUAUGUGGUGUCCCUGUAGUUCAUUUUUGAGCACCUAGAUGCCAGUAGAAAUGUCAUGAGUGAAACGUGAUGGAAACUGGUACUUAAACUUGAUUUUUAUUUGAUUUUUUUUUUUUUUUUUCUUCUUCCCCAUUAAGAGUGUCGAUGGCAUGUUGUCCCAUGGCACAAUCCCCAUGCCAUUCAGCGGAGUCUUCAGUCUAGGACUUUUAAGUAAAAAAGUUUGUCCUUCCAAAAAAGGACUAGUCAGUCAUUCAUAGGACCGAGGCAUAGACUUGGAGAGUCGCUUAAGUACGUGACCAGAAUUAAAGCCAACUUUCAGUUGAUGUUGCUGCUGUUGGUCUUUGCUUUCACUGAUUUCUCCAGCACUCCGUCAUGGUUGGGACCUCUGAAUCGUAAUGUUUUUCAGUCUCUUACACAUUUCCACCUCCCCGCCACCCCCCCAAAAAAAGGAGAGGCAGUGUCUAAAAGUUAAUUAGUUUCCUCACAAAUGCAUGAGUAAAUAAAAUUUGAGUUAUGAUGAUUAAAACCAUAAAAAUGACACCAGUCUGGUGAGACAAUAGCAGAUCUGGACUACUUCUGAACAGGCAUUCAUCACACGCAAAAGUCGUCAGGGUGCGGAUCACCUGCGCUUCAUGCUCUGACGAGACAAAAUGCUGAGGCAGGGAUGAGCUCUGAAAGAGGGGGAAAAAAAAAAAAAAUAGCUACAGGGUCACGGUUUUGUUUUGUUGUUGUUUGUUUUUAAAAGAGUGCAAUAUUGACUGGUGCCAGCCUGCAGAGCUCUUCUGCUGCCUGACCUCUCCUUCUCUUUCAUGGCUGUAAUUGUUGUUUGGAUAAUUGUAGAAGAGCAAUUAAGUUACUUGCCUCUGUGAAUGUGCUGGUAAUACCAGGAAGGCAAAUGCUUGAACCAGUAGUGAAUAACUUGGCUACAAGCAGAAUUUCUGAAGGAAGAACAGCAGCAGCAACAGGAAGCAAAUAGCGAGUGACCAAAAAUUUGCGUGUGUCAAACGCAUCAAAGCUUUAUUGCCGAAUGUUGUUUGGCAAUAUGUUCCAAAUGGCUUUUUUUGGUAAACGUAAAUUUUUAGGAAGUUCAGGGUUGUGUGUGGCAAAAGGUGUCCCUCUGCGUACGCGUCCUGCUACGGUAAAUAGCAUGGGUCAGUGGCAAGUCCAGCGGCAGGGCUGUUGUUCCCUACUCUCGACGUUGCCAGAGCAGUGUUGCGGUAUUGAGACCUUAACGGACGGGCUGAGGAAUGGAAGGAGAAUGCCCGUUUUCUGUAAGGGCUCAGAAUGCCAACCCUUUUCUCUGUCUGCCGCUCCCCUGAGCGUGAGAUGAAGCUGUUUUAUUUUUCUCCCUUGUUCCUGGUCUAAAUAAUUCUGGAGCUGUUGCUGCUGUGGGUUUGCAAUUUGUGUUAUUGCAUUUUUGUAGCGUUCUAGCGAUGGGUCGUUUCUACUGGGGCGAAGCAUCGAGACGCGGUUUUUGGUGUAAAGCGUCAGAAACUACAUUCACCGAAACCGCUGGAUGUCAGCUGGCACCGUUUCGCCGUGCUUGCCCUUUCUUCUGCCAUGACAAUACGAGACAGAUGGAAAGAAUCCAUAGUGGUCUGCAAGUACAAGGAGUACUCGACAACCUUACUGAGAUAACUAGCAUCUGUGCUAAAAGCAAUCAAGGUCAUAGAAGAGACGUGGACAAAACAGGACAAAUUGGCGUCACAUCUGUGUGUUUUCCAGGCUUUCCCAGGAAGCAUUAGCAGCCUUGUAACUAGUGACAGUGAGUCCUGAUUGUUUUUGAUGAGUUACUGCUUCAGUAAUGUAUUUUUUCCUUUAACCUACAGCGUGUCAUUUUGACUUCAGUUGGAAAGAGAUUUUCCAAAAUGGAAGUCUUUGUCACUCAAAGAAAUUUUGUUUUAUGAACUUCCCAUCAGAGUGGAUCUUCAGAGGCGAUCGACUUGACAGUAGAAGUCAUCAGUAACAAGACUUUUCACUCUCUUUAAACAAAGAAAAAAAAAAAAAAAAAAGUCAAUUUCCUUCCAAAGACCCAAGCACAGCCCAUCUUCCUAAAGUUGAUGGCAUCGCUGGUCUUUGGUUUCUCAGUUGUAACCGUCGUGACAACAUGAAAAUGUGUUGCUCUGCGCGCUUCAGUACUGCCAAAAGCAUUAGGAAAUCCGCCAGUCCUUUUUGGUAGUCUGAGGUAUUGCAGCACUGGGGGUUUUACAAAUUGACCUGCAUUGUUUAAAGUGUAACUGCCAAAUAGCUGUAGUAUAUCAUUUAUGAGGUGUAUGUAAGCAGUUAGGUAUUUUUCUAAAUGUUUAAAAAGAGAGGCAACUGAAUGUUGUGGGUUUUCUUUCCUGACGUUUUGACGGAGUGCUCUGAAGUACUUACUUUCUGUCUGGCUUUCAAUGGUGUGUUUCCCUGGCAGUUCAGUAGCACCUCUCUUGGGCAGCGCAGCUGGCCAGGUGUUCCUCCUCAUUACGUAACACACACAAAAACCCCUAGUCACGUUAUAACUGUGUACUUUGGAGAUAGAUAAUUUAACGGUAGGAAUUCAGAGCUGUGCAAGUUAAGGUAAUGCAAAAGGAAAACCAAAUACUUUUACAGUAUAAGUAUUCUUAUUGGAUGUAUAUAAACGUGGGCACACCC